CCCAGGCAUACUUGUGUCGCUCGGGAUACAAGCUGAACAAGAACGUCUCACCCGUACCGAAAUAGGUCUGUCUUUGCCCGUCGACUUUCAUGUUGCGUUCAUACCACCUGGUGGAACAAUACGCCCCGAAUACCUGGAACACGGCAGUUUUUAUCAUCAGCAGAGUCGGCUCGUGUUGCUCCACUCGCACGUAAAACGUUGUCAGAGAACAUCCGUGUUCCUCGGUUGUGUACAACAACACCGGCUGGUACAUCGUGAUCCUCGCCGGUAGCCACGACCAUAGGAUUCGCCACUGCCACCAACGACAACGAUAUUCGACAUGCCAUAACGAGCCGAUAAUGAGGAACCUACGAGUACCACCACUCGAUGCCGCUCUUUCGGCGGAUAAUUCGCUCAAAGAAGGACUCGAGGCCGUGAGUACUUACAUCAGGCAUAUCUAGGAUCUGAGAGCAUAUACUUUGUAUGGGAUAACAGCCCAUCGAUAGGGCACGCGGUCCGGGACUGUGCGCGCCCUGUACACCCCCGGCACACCCAUCGUUAUAUCCAUCAUUCCAGUCAAGGCAGCACAACACAAGACAGCACAAAACGCAUCAGUUGUGUCGAUGGGUACAGUGCUGGGAGCUAACGUUAACGGUGGAUGUCGCACUAGAGUACCGGCUCGACUAAAACGCGAUUUCGUACACAAGUUGUUUAUUAAAAAAAAAAAAAAAAAAAUAUAGAAAAAAAGAAAAAAAAGUGUACUUGGUUCGAUUCUCGAAGCUUGCUCUCAACGUUUUCAACUAUCCUAUAUAUAACGUGUAUGUAUGUUAACGUGUAUGUAUGUUUACAUAUACGCGUAAUGUAAACAAAAUAUAUUGAACGUUUCCACUCUAUGAUGAUACUUUGGAAACCUUUUUGGUAAAGUCUGGCUUGUAGUCUCAUCGACAGUAGCCAUACUCUAUUAAAAUUAAUUUGAAAAUACAUAUUAUACGCGCGUACAAUUAUGUCUUGAGGCUUGCUUUACGUAAUUGAGCCUUUACAUCCUAGAUACUUGAAUAUUUCUUUCCUUUUUCGAAUCUUACUAUUAUCAUCUCCCUGGUUGAAAUCUGCAUAGAUACCUGCGCGCUCCGUAGCCACAUCAACAAGCCAACGAGAGUUUCGCGUUACACAGAACAGACGUUAUUAACCAAUCUUGCACGUUCACACGGGAUAAAUUGAUACAAGGAAAUGUGAAAUCUAAGAAGACAUUUUAGUACCCGCGAGAAUAAACCAAAUAAUCGACAUGGGUGACUUUCGAUCUCGAUAAUAUAGGUGAAAAAAUACAAUCACUGCGCAUGAAUAGAUGAUAACAGCAGCGAAAAAGCUAGCACGACAAACGCGUGGCGGCGAUGAGUGAGUACGUACAGUAGUAAUAGUAAUAAUAGUGGUAGUAAUAGUAGCGAUAGUAAUAGGAGUAUGAGUACAGGCGAUAUUUCUUCGAUAGGAGAGAUGGGUUGGGUAGGGUGAUAGAGAGGGGGAGCGCGGGCAGAGCACAUAAAACUAACAACACAUUUCCCAGAAAAGAUAAUCAUACGAUACCCUGUCUUUGUACGUGUCUUCACAUUCUUUCUGAAAACAAAUUUCAUUAUUGAGAGAUUCGUCGAGAGCUCGCCGAACCCUACAAGAACCUAUUUUAGAAUGUUGGCCUCUAUAGAACGAAAAAGUUCAUUCCGACACAAGUGGCAUCCGAUGAACCGCGACAUGUACAACCGACGACAACAGUAUGAUUCUCUCUCUCUCUCUCUCUCUCUCUCUCUCUCUCUCUCUCUCUCUCUCUCU